rnacentral:lncRNA from 12 species
AUGGGCCAGGAUGGCAGAGGGGACAGCAGAGAGGGGAGUCAGGGGACAGCAGGGGGAUGGCCAGGGGGCAGGGGGAGGCCGGCUGGAUGCUGGGCAGUCAGGCCCUGGGGAGGUGGGGGGACCUCAGCAGGAUGGUCACGGGGCACCCGGGCCACGCUGACAGCUCUCAGGCUGGUCUACCGAGCAGGGGGGCAGGUCACCCCCUGGGGGCACCGAGGGGUCCCCGCCCAGCCCACCACCUGCAAACACCCUUCUCAGACCCCCCAGACGCCACCCCCGCCCGCCCUCAGGCCGCUGGCAGCCCUUGCCCUCCCUGGAGGAUCCCUGCCCUCCCCAGGCCCCUGGGUGCAGACGAGGGGUGGGGGUGUGUGUGUGUGGCUGUGGGGCCGGGGCCUCAGGGCUCUGCGUCUCUUGCCUUCCAGGGACAAGGAGCUGCCCGGCCCCAUCCCCCGCGAGGCCAAGGUGAGAGCCUGUCCUGGGCCCCGGGCAGGACGUGGGGGGGGCUGGGGCCAGCUGUCUGCACCCCGUCCCCCAGGAAAUCCCCGGGCGUUUCCCCAGUCACCCGUCCCAGCGCUGCACAGGCUGCCGGGAACGCACCCCAGACCCGGAGCCACGGUCCACGGGGGGCCCUGUGCCUUCCUGGCUCGCCGGGUCCCGCGGGGGACUGGACGCGGCCCAAGCGCCCACCUCCCGCGGCUGGAGCCUCACCUGCGGCCCCCGCUUGUCCUCUUCCAGAAACUCCGCCAGGAGACCUGGCGCGCGGACAAAUGGAUAAAAAUGCUCAAGCGAUGGGACUUCUACCCCCCAGCAAGAAGGUGGGGCGCUGGGUGCCCCCGAGGGCUCUCCGUCCUGACGGGGCUGGGUGUCCCCAGUGUCCUCCUGCCCCAUCCUCAGGGGAGCCCCCUGCCUGGGGAGAGUCUGCUGGGAGCUCGAGCCUCCCCAGGCCCCGGGACGGCGGUGGGGGUGCGUCAGGUCGGGGCCACGGUCCCUGCUCCUCGUGGGGGACGGGGCCCAGCUCCAGGGAGACCCAGCCUCUCUGCAGACACCCUGGAGCCUAAGCCGGAACCUUCUAGAUUCCUCGCGCUCCCUAGGCUCCAAGGGGCCACCCUGGGCCCCUCUCACCAGCACUGCCUUCCUCCCCGCAGCUGUGACGCCAGGUCUACAAGGGGGUCCCGCCCCAGGUGCGGGGACAGGUGUGGCUGCGAUUGCUGA